UACUACUUCUGAAAGUGUGUAUACUGAGAAGCAUGAUACGCAUGAAGUGGAAAGUCUUAAAAGCACAAUGUCUGGUGAUUUAGGUGUACUAUCCCUCGGACAAAGUCCUCAGCGAGAGAAAGGAGAAGCACCUGACAAUCAGUUUCCACCACAGGACAAUGCUUGGGCUCAUGGUUGGAGCAUAGACUAUUCAGCUUCAAAUAAUUUGGCUCCUGCUUCCGAAGACUGUAGCAGUAGCAGUCUUAAAGGAAAUUUAGAAGCAGUUGAGUCAUCUAUUCUUGAUCUAAA
rnacentral:lncRNA from 1 species